ACGACAUUUUUAAUGUCGUGGUGUCGGGUGAAAAUGUGGUAGUGUCGGGUUAACAAUGUCGGGUUGUCGUGGUGUCGGGUUAUAAUGUCGUGAUGUCGGGUUGUCGCCUUAUGAAGGGCGACAUCACGACAUGAUACCAAUCAGCCACCAUACUUUACUGCUUCACCCUGUUUAUUAAUAUGACUAAUUUUCAUUAUCAUUUUUGGAAAAGCUUCGUUCGAAGACGUCCCCCCCCCCCUUUCAUUCUAUUAGUAAUGUAAAGUGCAAGAGGACCGCACCACAAACACACAAGAUAAUACAAGUAAUAAUAUCAAAUUAUGUGAAUGGACAUCAACAUUUUUUAGUUCUAAGAACUUCUAAUAAUUAUUUCCAAAUUGAAAUAUAUUAAUCUACUACUAUAAAUUGUUAUUACAGGUAAUUAGUUAUGCGGCGCAGAGAAGGUUUGAAUUAUAAGUGUGGGCCCCGGGAUGGGGGGAGGGUCAUUCGAGUAGCGUUCGUGACAAAUAUAUUUAGUCUCAAGCAGCCAGGGGAUCACGUGGCUAGGUGGUAAGACGCUGGUUCGCUAACCUGGAGGUCGGGUUUUCGAUCCCUGCAUUGGCCGAGAAUGUUCAUCCCGAUUUUUUGGCGUGGUUUCCCCCUUGUCAGUGAUGCAGGACGGAGGGCCUGACAAGGACAGCUGUCUAGUCGUUCGGAUGGGACGAAAACGAAAAACUGAGGUCCCGUGUACACAUUGGAGUGCACGUAAAAGAUCCGUUGGGAGUUGGAAUUCGAUAUUAAAGUAGGCCCUGGCAAAAUUUCCCUCAAAGCACACUGCAUGGGGUAUGUCCGUCUUCCUUAGCCCAGUUUAGGAGCAGAACAGUAGGACGCUAAACCCCAUUUCAUUUCAUUUCAUUUCUCAAGCAGCCAAAGGCAAACUGCAGAGGUACCAUACUCUUUUUUGCGUUAACAAACUAAACUCAUAUGGUUUUUUUUAUUUUAUUUAUUUAUAUGUAUAUAUUUUUGAGUGACAGAAAGAAUGCCCGAAUUUCAAUCAAUUACUUUCUAUAAUAUUCCAUAUUUUAACAGAAACACUACAAGCUAUGCCUUCGUGGGGCCCAGCCUGGAAUCAAUUGAAUAAAGAAGAAAAAAGUAGCUACCAAAAAAAAAAGCCAAAUCGAUUUGCCCUGUCAGCAGCAAAGAAGCUUUGAUCGGACAAAUUGCUUCUCUUAUGACAGAAUUAUCAAAUAAAUAUGGAGUUGAUUUGGUUUGUGUGGGUCAUGACCUCAACAGCCAAAUACAAUAUCUAUUUGGUGGAGGUAACCCGCGACCGUUAACCUUCACAAAUAAUUCCAAAGCAUAUCUUUCAAACCCAUAUGUCGACUGCUGCGCUGGAGUAGAUGGAGUCAACGUGACAAAUAAAUCUCUGAGUAAACAUCGACAAAACUUGAAAUAUAGGUUUAUCAAUCGGAACAAAAGCGGCUUCCCGUAUAAAUCAUACAGGGAAGGGAGAGUGGCCAUGGAUGGACUACCGAAAGACUUAGCACCCUUGAAACCGCCAUCUCAGUAUGGUUUAAAAAAACUAAAAACUAUUUUAUAAUGUAAGAAUUACAAAUGAUGACCUACAAACCGCUACCGUCACAGGUGUAGAAAGCAUCCUUGUAGACAGAACCUUAGAAUUAAACAGUGCAGUUACAAACAAAGAUAACAGAAGAUCAGCAUAAUUGAUAAGACCUUUAUUGAGAACAUGAAAUAGACAUAAAUCGGGAGGAUUCUAUUUCAAGUCUGACUUGCUGUCAGUAAACGACUGCUUAUAUAGCUUCUAACAAUUAGGGAAGAUGGACAGGAGUGAUAAUCAUAUAUGGUAUUGUUUAUUAUCAAAUUAUGGUGUCUGUAAUUACACUGCAUAUUUCUUUGGAAGUCAUUGUAAGGUAUGAUGCACUGACCACUAAUACAUUCUCUUUGAAGUUCUGUCUAGUGUUAUACACGGAUCACGUGUAGCUUGUAAAGAACAUAUUGAAUAAAUUAGAUGUUUGAUAAGAUCGUGCCUUAAAAAAAAUUUAUAGAGAGUUUAAACUUCAACUUCAGGUAUAGAUCACUUUGUCACAUUCCUUUCCCACCCACAGGCACCAUCUCCUUAAUUAACGUUGUUAUGUAACAUGCAUUAAAUACAAUACAAUAUCAAUACUUUAAAGCUCUAAAUAUGUCCAUUACAAUUUCAAGUCCUAAUUCUAAAAUAUUACACUGAUAUACAUGCUACAAUAUUAUAUAAGGUCAAUAUGAAUACUCGGUUAUACGUUCCAACAUAUUUAAAAAAAACACUGUUUCAAUGUCAAUAACACUACAUAAAUAUAAUAUGUUCUAUUCAUAGUCCUGUUUCUUGCACGGCUAAUUAGGUGAUCGUAAACACUUCUGCAAACUUCGCUUCAGAGCCAUAUCUUGAAUUUCCCGUUCUGGUUCGGCUUUGCUGUGCGUUAAGAUAGGGUACAAAAAAUCCCAUAAAUGACCAGUGUACUUGCUCAAUUAGACCAAUUACAAUUACAUUACCCUUUAUUUUAAUUGGAUGUGAUUAUAUCUUAAUAAUAUUCUUACACUUAAGUUUAUUUAAAAUUAAAAUUGUAUAUACUUCAUUGGGAACACAGCUGUAUUAAUCCUUAAUUCUAUUUACUUUUAACUGAAUAAACUAUUGACAAUAGAACUUAA